rnacentral:rRNA from 1 species
UGCAGUCUGCAACUCGACUGCAUGAAGCUGGAAUCGCUAGUAAUCGCGGAUCAGAAUGCCGCGGUGAAUACGUUCCCGGGUCUUGUACACACCGCCCGUCACACCAUGGGAGUCGGAUAUGCCCGAAGUCAGUGACCCAACCGCAAGGAGGGAGCUGCCGAAGGUGGAGCCGAUGACUGGGGUGAAGUCGUAACAAGGUAAC